rnacentral:rRNA from 1 species
GACAGAGGUGCCGAGCGUUAGGCGGAAUCACUGGGCUUAAAGCGUGUGUAGGUGGAUGUCUAAGUACCUUGUGAAAUCCCACGGCUCAACCGUGGAACUGCUCGGUAUACUGGAUGUCUUGAGCCACUUAGGGGCUACCGGAACAAAUGGUGGAGCGGUGAAAUGCGUAGAUAUCAUUUGGAACGCCAAUGGUGAAAACAGGUAGCUGGGAGUGUGCUGACACUGAGACACGAAAGCCAGGGGAGCGAACGGG